UCGGAGGCGCUCAGUGCGAAGUUUGGUUAGUUUGACUAUCAUCCUGAGCGUUUUCUUUUCUGGUGUUUUUCCGUUGCCGAUUGGACUGUGUUUCUCGUGUUUUGAUUUAUCGCUGCCUGCCCCGACCUUCUGCCUGGACUAUCGUUUAUUCUCUGGAUUUUCCCCGUUGCACUGUUUGCUGGUGAUUAACUCUGCCUGUCUGACUACGAGUUUGUUAAUAAACAUGUCGCAAAUGGAUCCCACGCCUCCCGAGCAGUCACUGACCGCACAACAAAGUUCUACUCUCAGAUUGGGCCGAACAGUUUACUACUUCUACAAUGAAGUUCUUUCCUCUAUCGAUCUUUUUAGGCUGCAUCCUGUGACUGCUGAUUGGCUCCGUAAGCUGUCAAUCAUCAUUAUCAGACGUGACGCGGACCUAUCUGCUGCGAGUGAGGUUUCUACCGGCAGAGUUGAAAGGACGCUGGAAGGAUUGGAUGGAGGGAGCUGUUUCUUUUGCUCCCGGACUGUUGAGGUUUUUGCUUGUUUUUGUUUGUUUUGAUUUAUGGCGAAAUUUGUUUGUUUUGUUUGACAACUGUUAAACCUUACCACCUUUCGAUUCGUUGUUUUGCUUUGUUAUUUCUUUGUUUUGGAUGGCAUUGCUCUCUGAGCUUUGUUAAGCUAAUGUUUACUCUUUACCCAAGAGGAAGGUGGAUAAGGAAGAUGUCGUACGACUUCUAUUGUGCAACACUUAGGUAACACUGUGUAUAGAGACCCCAGGUAAGAGGUGAACGCCACUUUUUGUAUGUUUUUAUUUUGUUAGCUGAGAGUAGGGAAGCAUACGGCGCUUGGCGCUGAAGAUUUAUUUUCUUUCUUUUUUUCUCUUUCCCCCCUUUAGCUAGGUUAGAGGUUGGAAAUAAGUUUGACUUUUUUUGUUGUUGUUUAUUUCGUUUCUUUGGCGUCACUAGCAUCCCCUUUUCUCUUGGGUUAUUUUUGUUUUGGUUUUCUUUGCCCAACAUUGUAAAACUUUGUACAUAAUGGUUGUUUUCUUAUAUAUACUUUUGUAAAUAGACUUUUUUUGUAAAUAUACUGUGUACUCCUUUUCACUUCGUACA